UACGUAGGGUCCGAGCGUUGUCCGGAAUUACUGGGCGUAAAGGGCUCGUAGGUGGUUUGUCGCGUUGUCCGUGAAAACUCACAGCUUAACUGUGGGCGUGCGGGCGAUACGGGCAGACUGGAGUACUGCAGGGGAGACUGGAAUUCCUGGUGUAGCGGUGGAAUGCGCAGAUAUCAGGAGGAACACCGGUGGCGAAGGCGGGUCUCUGGGCAGUAACUGACGCUGAGGAGCGAAAGCGUGGGGAGCGAACAGG
rnacentral:rRNA from 1 species